rnacentral:lncRNA from 1 species
CCCCGAGGCCCGCCCUCAGCGUGUCUUAUUCCAUUUUGAAGUCCCUGCCAUGCGGCAACACCUCGGUCACCUCACCACGGGCAUCAAGGGAAGUAGAAGGGUCCCGUUCCGCCAGCAGGGAGCGGCAGAGUUGCUUCUCUCUGAUGACUACAAAGUUGUAAAUGUCUGAGGUGUGGUUGCAUAGCACCUGUAUUUCCCAAGAUGGCUACACAAAUAAAAGAACCAUGGUGGGAUCCAUGGUCUAGCAGGAAACAAGGUUCAUCUCCUUCUGGAAAACAUGGUUCCUUCCUGUGCUGAAUAGCACAGGGGCUAGCCAGGCUCCUCCCAGACCAGGACUGGCUGGCUGUCCUCUUCCCACAACCAGCAGGGAGCUAAGCCUCACCCCAGGAAACACCCAAACAGACUCAUCACUCAAGCAGCAAACAGACAAAAAAAGAAAAGGAAUGGAAACG